GAUGAACGCUGGCGGCGUGCUUAACACAUGCAAGUCGAACGAAGCGCUUAAACGGAUUUCUUCGGAAUGAAGUUUUUGCGACUGAGUGGGCGACGGGUGAAGGUACGCGUAGGUAACUGCCUCAUACAGGGGGAUAACAGUUAGAAAUGACUGCUAAUACCGCAUAAGCGCACAGUGCUGCAUGGCACAGUGUGAAAAACUCCGGUGGUAUGAGAUGGACCCGCGUCUGAAUUAGCUAGUUGGUGGGGUAACGGCCUACCAAGGCGACGAUCAGUAGCCGGCCUGAGAGGGUGAACGGCCACAUUGGGACUGAGACACGGCCCAA
rnacentral:rRNA from 1 species